rnacentral:rRNA from 1 species
AGGAAUAUUGGUCAAUGGACGCAAGUCUGAACCAGCCAAGUAGCGUGCAGGAUGACGGCCCUAUGGGUUGUAAACUGCUUUUAUGUGGGAAUAAAUUGGCGCACGUGUGCGCCAUUGCAUGUACCUCAUGAAUAAGGACCGGCUAAUUCCGUGCCAGCAGCCGCGGUAAUACGGAAGGUCCGGGCGUUAUCCGGAUUUAUUGGGUUUAAAGGGAGUGUAGGCGGUCUGUUAAGCGUGUUGUGAAAUUUAGGUGCUCAACAUUUAACUUGCAGCGCGAACUGUCAGACUUGAGUACACGCAGCGCAGGCGGAAUUCAUGGUGUAGCGGUGAAAUGCUUAGAUAUCAUGAGGAACUCCGAUCGCGAAGGCAGCCUGCGGGAGUGUUACUGACGCUUAAGCUCGAAGGUGCGGGUAUCGAACAGGAUUAGAUACCCUGGUAGUCCGCACGGUAAACGAUGGAUGCCCGCCGUUGGCGCCCUGCGCCUGCGGCCAAGCGAAAGCAUUAAGCAUCCCACCUGGGGAGUACGCCGGCAACGGUGAAACUCAAAGGAAUUGACGGGGGCCCGCACAAGCGGAGGAACAUGUGGUUUAAUUCGAUGAUACGCGAGGAACCUUACCCGGGCUUGAAUUGCAGUCGCUGCCCACAGAGACGUGGGCUUCCCUUCGGGGCGUCUGUGAAGGUGCUGCAUGGUUGUCGUCAGCUCGUGCCGUGAGGUGUCGGCUUAAGUGCCAUAACGAGCGCAACCCCCUUUCCCAGUUGCCAUCGGGUGAUGCCGGGCACUCUGGGGACACUGCCACCGCAAGGUGCGAGGAAGGUGGGGAUGACGUCAAAUCAGCACGGCCCUUACGUCCGGGGCUACACACGUGUUACAAUGGCCGGUACAGAGGGACGGUGCAAUGCAAGUUGCAUCCAAUCUUGAAAUCCGGUCCCAGUUCGGACUGGGGUCUGCAACCCGACCCCACGAAGCUGGAUUCGCUAGUAAUCGCGCAUCAGCCAUGGCGCGGUGAAUACGUUCCCGGGCCUUGUACACACCGCCCGUCAAGCCAUGAAAGCCGGGGGUGCCUGAAGUUCGUGAC